GAAGGGCGGGGCGGAGCCGGGCAGCGCUGCGCAUGCGCACUGGCUUUACCCGCCCGGUGCUGUUGCUCCGUGGGUACCGUCCGGCGCUGCCCGGGAGCGGCUUGGAAGCAGCGGGUUCGGUUCCCGGCUGCGGCAGCGGCGGGCGAGGGUUGUGGUGACAAUGGAGGAGGGCGGCUGUUGCUGUGGCUGCAGCGAGGUGGAAAGUGAGCGGAGAACGGCGACGCAGCGUGUGCCGGGAAAAGACCCGAGGGGGGGCGGCCCCGGAGCAGAGCCGGGCGGGAGCGGGCGGCGGGGACUGCGCGGGGCGAAGGCAGUCCCGGCGCGGGCGCGGAGCCGGGGAGGAGCUGCGGGGCUGGGGCCGGGGCUUGCGGGCGGCACGGCGGGACCUCCCUGCAGAGCCUUUCCUGGGAAACAAAACCUGCAGUUUGUCCCACCUCGGCCCCGUGGCAAGGGGCAGCGCAACCGAGGGGAGCAGCGCCUGAGCAGGGGCGGCAGCGUGCGGGCGCAGGGAAGACGCGGCUGGUGCUGGAGCGAGAACGUGCAGGUUUCUUACAUUUAAAUGAACGUGGAAAGCAGGGAGAGAGGUGGUAUAAAAGCACCGGGUGCUCGGGCAGGUGAGACAGGACUCAGGGGAGGGAGUCGCUUUCCUGAGCUCCUGAAGUUCCACUUGACUCUCUCAGGAGCACUCGUGAGAAGUUUCCCAUUUGGAGUUGGGCUCCAAAAGGAAGGAACUUGAAACCGCUUCUUCUGAUAAAUCCCCCAGGGCUGAGCUGGAGAACGGGUGGAGACAGUGGCAAGCGGGAGUCCCAUGUUUACAUCUGCCCUUGGAUUCCACUUUCUUCCAGUGGGUCUGUACUGCCCGAAGUACAAAGGAAGGAGGUGUUGGAGUACCUGUUUGUUCACCUGUUGAGCUUGGAAGAGAUGCUGAGUGUGAAAUUCCAGGGGUGCCGGCUCCUUGUGAGCUGUUGGUUGCUCAGGAGAUUGGGUCGGGGAAAGGGGGGAAGAGUCCGAGCACAGCACAGUGGUAGGAGCUGGGUUUGCAUCUCAAUCUAAGGCAUCUCAAAGCCUGAUAAGCUGGAAAGAAGACUUUGCUGUGUUAAUGCA